rnacentral:sRNA from 1 species
GUGCUAAAGUAAACCAUUAAAAGCACAUGCAUUUGCAAAUUACCGCCAAAUAGAAUGGAUUCAAGAGUACCUUAUAAUGUACAUGGCAAGUCAAAGCAAACGAUCGCAAGUACCACGAACAACCUCACUUUAUGAACACAAAAUUCUUGUGUAUUAAGGAGAGUAAAUAUGCGAAUAAUGCAAUUAAAACAUACAAGUACAACGCAUUUACCUUUAUACCAAUGAAUCUGUUUGAGCAAUUUAAGAGAGCAGCCAAUUUAUAUUUCCUGGCUCUUCUUAUCUUACAGGCAGUUCCUCAAAUCUCUACCCUGGCUUGGUACACCACACUAGUGCCCCUGCUUGUGGUGCUGGGCGUCACUGCAAUCAAAGACCUGGUGGACGAUGUGGCUCGCCAUAAAAUGGAUAAGGAAAUCAACAAUAGGACGUGUGAAGUCAUUAAGGAUGGCAGGUUCAAAGUUGCUAAGUGGAAAGAAAUUCAAGUUGGAGACGUCAUUCGUCUGAAAAAAAAUGAUUUUGUUCCAGCUGACAUUCUCCUGCUGU